UCAUCAUGAUCCGGGUCAUGGUCGUGAUCGUGGUUAUGAUCAUGAUCGUGGUCAUGAUCAUGGUCGUGAUUAUGAUCAUGGUCAUGAUCGUGACCA
rnacentral:pre_miRNA from 1 species